GUGUGUGUGUGUGUGUGUGUGGUGUGUGUGUGUGUGUGUGUGUGUGUGUGUGUGUGUGUGUGUGUGUGUGUGUGUGUGUGGUGUGUGUGUGUGUGUGUGUGUGUGUGUACUCUGCACUCUGCUUAUCUCAGAGUUGGGCUCUGGCCAACAUCCAUACUCUUGUAAUGUAACAUCUGGUGUCAGCUGGGGGGAGGUUAGGGAGGCACAUGGGUUCACCUCUCAGUGAGGGGAAGAAGUGAAUCAUGCUGUGUAUACUCAACCGCAUUACAUCAUUUACCAAACAAAUGGGGCUCUUGAUCACAGAUACUUGUGGAAAACGUUGAGUUUUUCGCCUGAACAUUUACAUGUAAACCACAAGCGCAUGUUCUCAACCUCCACUUACUCUACUUUAAAGGGUUAGUUUGUUUGAAGUACUUAUCCAUUGUCAUUGUAACCAUACAGUCAGGAGGGGUGUCUCAUGGCAAGGUAAAGUGGUGAAAAUAUUCUAAAUAAAGAGUACACUUAAAGCGAUAUUUAAUUGUUUGAGGUAUAUUUAGCUUCUGCUCUGUCCGAAGGAGCACAUACUGUAGCACAGCUUCCCUGCUGGUACUCCUGUUUCUCCAAACUAAAGGCGUGCCAAAUGUUGUCUACUGUAAAAAUGGACAGACUGUGGAUGAUUCAUACAACCCCACCUCAAACAACACAAACUAUCCCUUUGUUAAAAUGAUAAUCAGUAACCUCUCUGAAUAUGUGAGUACAUAAUAACUUGGAUAACAAUAGGUCUACUGCAGGCGACAGGUUCCUUUAGCUGUAGCCUACAUUUUGAAAGAACAGUUGUACAAUUUGGCAAAUACAAUAUUUCGAUUUUAUUUCAGUACCUUAAAUAUGAAGGGGAGACUCGCUAUAGACGUAGCUUUAAACCUUUGCUGCGAGAGUCACAUGAACAACGGGAGUAUCUAAAUUAGCAUGCUUACUUUCUUCUGAUCGCGAUUGGCUGUGGGAUCUGUUACGAUGUAACUCACAGACAUCACUGGCUAUCAGUUAUACAAUGUUUUUUUAAUGACUUUUUUAUGUAAACAUUGUUCCAGGUAAUAUAUUUCAGUGGUAAAUGAUUUUUUAUCGCAAUAGAACUUUAUUGCCUAGGCUAUUUAUCACUUGACUUUUUUGCUGUAGAUUGUAAGGGUUGGUCAAGAGUCUCCCAAUAUACUGUAAGGGAUGGAGCGAAAAACUUUUGGUUUUGUACCUUUACCUUUUUCGAUCUACCUUUGAAAAACGUUGUUAUUUUUAAGGCAGAUAUUGCCUUGGCCUGCAAUCGUCCAUGUGUGACUGUGCCCUUAUGCUAAGCUAAGCUAACCAGUUACUGACUCUAGCUUCCAUAGCCGCUUUCACACCGCAGGACUUGCGGUACUUUAGUGCCGGCACUAAAGUACCACGGCACUGAAUCCGCCAGGGGGCUAGUGCCAUAGCCGCAUUCACACCGCAGGACUUUCCCUGAGGCAAGAUUACGCUGACGUCACUUCGUCUUCUUCUUCUCUGGGUUUACUGGCAGGCCGCAAAACCACUUCACGGCGAGUACAACAAAAAACGAGAGAAGAAGAACUACACGGGGGAGGGGGUAUAAAGCCCACCCGCUGUAUGAGGCGUUUGUUUACUUUCCGACCUCAGACAUGAUGGAGUUCAAUGAGCUUGUUGUCUUUGUGCUCAUGUUAUACAGCUUUGUAACUGGGUUAUUGCAGCCAACUAGGGAUUUGACCCACUCGUCGGAUGCUGUAAGUGCAAUGCUGGUUCGGAAUCGAAGGCGGUUAAAAAGCUUUCGGAAAAGGAUUGGACGACGAAAGGCACACACUAUAGCCAUGUUUCGCCGUAGGAUGGCUGAUGACGAUCAGCGUUUUCACGCCCUAAGAACAGCGAUGAUAUGCCAAUACUACGGAGCGCGUCGUGUCCCACGCUCUCUCUGGGUGAACAAUAGAACAUCGGCCUGGUGGGAGACGGUGGUGCCAACGUACACCGAUGAGCAGUGGAUGAAAGAUUUCCGAAUGUCCAAGCAAUCUUUCAAAUACCUAAUUUGUUGCCUGGGAGCAACGUUGGGGAGAAGCGACACCAACUUCCGGGAGUGUGUCCCUGUCCCUAAAAAAAUCGCCUUGGAAACUUGCAACCAACUCAGAGUACAGGACCAUCUCUCAUUUGUUUGGAGUCGGCAUCUCUACGGUGUGUUGCUGUGUGCAGGAGUUCUGCUCCUCUGUUGUGAGCCUACUUCUUCCUGAGUUUAUGCCAUGGCCGAACUCUGAGAAGUUAGAGGAGAUGGUGUUAACUUUCGAGUGCAAAUGGGGUGUGCCACAGUGUGUUAGUGCAGUAGAUGGAUCACACAUCCCCAUUAUGAGACCAGAGGAAUACCAUAACGAGUAUUUCAACCGCAAAGGCUGGCACUCGCUCGUCCUGCAGGGUGUUGUGGAUGCUAGGGGCCUCUUUUGGAGUGUUUUUGUUGGCUUACCAGGUAGCAUGCAUGAUAGCAGAGUGUUCAGCACUGGUUAGUUUUGUGGAUAGGGGUGGUCUACUUCCUCAUGUAACGAGGAAUAUUGGGGGACAUGAUGUGGGUUACUAUAUCCUUGGUGACUCAGCCUACACCCUGCAAAGAUGGCUGAUGAAACCUUUCCAGGACAAUGGAAGGCUCACACCCGAGCAACGUGUGUACAACUUCAAAACAAGCCGAGCACGAGUGGUGGUGGAGAAUGCUUUUGGCAGACUGAAGGGAAGGUGGCGCUGCUUGAUGAAAAGAAACGACUGCAACAUUGACAAGAUCAGAACCCAGGUGGUAGCAUGUUGCAUAUUACAUAACCUGUGUGAGAGUAAUGGUGAUGAAUACAGGGAUGAAUGGACUGCCUUACCAGCGGCGACCCAGCUUGAUGUGCCAGCCAAUAUUGGCGAGGCUGGGGGGAAAGAAAUGCGCACAGCCCUUAUGAGGCAUCUCAACAUCGAUUAAAUUGUAUAUUGUAAAUUGACAAUAAAAUCUUUUGAUCUUUUGUACAGUG